AUGGCACUGAAGGAGAACAGAUUAAUGUGCUCUUGGUAUAUCUGGCUCCUCUGCUGGGUGACCCUGUGUCUCUUGGCCACAGGACACUCGGAACCUGCAGACAGCCAGUCCCCUGGACACAAGGUCACCGAGAUGGGACAGGAGGUGAUUCUGAGGUGCGAUCCAUCUUCUGGUCACAUAUUUGUUCACUGGUACCAACAGAAUCUGAGGCAAGAAAUGAAGUUUCUGAUUUCCUUCCAAUACUAAAACAUUGCAGUUGAUUCAGGGAUGCCCAAGAACAAUUCACAGCUGAAAGACCUAACGGAACGUCUUCCACGCUGAAGAUCCAUCCCACAGAGCCGAGGGACUCAGCCAUGUAUCUCCGCAGUAGCGAUGACACAGCGUGA